rnacentral:rRNA from 1 species
UACGAGAGGCCCAAACGUUAUUCGGAAUUACUGGGCUUAAAGAGUCCGUAGGCGGCGCGGAAAGUGGGGUGUGAAAGCCCUCGGCUUAACCGAGGAAUUGCGCUCCAAACUGCCGUGCUCGAGGAACCUAGAGGUGAGCAGAACUGAUGGUGUAGCGGUGAAAUGCGUAGAUAUCAGGAGGAACACCUGCGGUGUAGACGGCUUACUGGACCAUAACUGACGCUGAGGCACGAAAGCGUGGGUAGCAAACAGG